rnacentral:rRNA from 1 species
CAUCGCCUAAGGCUAAUAUCUUAGGUACCGCCUGCCCAAUGAUUUUCAAUGGCCGCAGUAUUCUGACUGUGCAAAGGUAGCAUAAUCACUUGUCUUUUAAUUGAAGGCUUGUAUGAAUGGCACGACGUAUGAAAGACUUUCCCCUAAAUAACCCCUAACUUAAUCUGUAUGUCAAAAAGCGUACAUGCCCACGCAGGACGAGAAGACCCCGUAGAUCUUAAUAAUAAUUACUGUAAUUAUUUUGGCUGAUUAAUUGAUUACAAACAACUACUUAUUUGGUUGGGGCGACAUGAACCGUAAUAACGCUUCUAAUUAAAACUCUUAUACAAGGCUACUUGACCCGUUAACGAUUUAAAAAUUAAGUUACCUCGGGGAUAACAGCGUAAUCUAAUUUAAGAGUUCUUAUCAAAAAUUAGGGUUGCGACCUCGAUGUUGGAUUAGGAUACAAUAUAAGUGCAGAAGCUUGUAAUUGGGGUCUGUUCGACCUUUAAAUUCCUACAUGAUC